GGGUCUGUGGUCAAGCGGCUAAGUUAAUGUAAUCUACUGAUUACGUAAGAGUUAACGUUCCCCUGCAGAGGGAAAAUUCGAGGGUUCGAGUCCCUCCAGGCCCU
rnacentral:tRNA from 1 species